rnacentral:misc_RNA from 1 species
GACAGAUUGCAAAGCAAGUAUGCACGUGAAAAGAAGGCCCGAUGGGAAAUGGAUAAUUCAUAGAUUCGAGAAAGAACAUAAUCAUGAACUUCUACCUGCCCAAGCUGUCAGUGAACAAACAAGAAGGAUGUAUGCUGCAAUGGCAAGACAAUUUGCUGAAUACAAAAAUGUUGUUGGUCUGAAAAGUGACACAAAAGUUCUAUUUGACAAAGGUCGAAAUUCAGCAAUGGAAGGGGGAGACAUAAGUGUUCUAUUAGAGUUCUUUAUUCAGAUGCAAAAUCUUAAUUCCAACUUCUUUUAUGCUGUUGAUGUGGGUGAAGAUCAACGUGUAAAGAACUUGUUCUGGGUUGAUGCCAAAGCCAGGCAUGAUUAUGUGAAUUUCAGCGAUGUUGUCUCUUUUGAUACUACCUAUGUCAGAAACAAAUAUAAGAUGCCCCUGGCUCUUUUUGUUGGGGUCAAUCAGCAUUUUCAGUUCAUACUACUUGGAUGUGCUUUGGUCUCUGAUGAGAGUGCGUCAACAUUUUCUUGGGUAAUGCGGACAUGGUUGAAGGCAAUGGGCGGUCAAGCUCCGAAGACAGUGAUCACCGAUCAUGACCUGGUAUUGAAGUCAGUCAUUUCAGAGGCUUUGCCACUAUCCCUCCAUUAUUUCUGUUUGUGGCAUGUCCUGGGAAAGGUGUCUGAUACACUGAAUCAUGUCAUCAAACAGAAUGAAAAGUUUAUGCCUAAGUUCGAGAAAUGUCUUAACAGGUCAUGGACAGAUGAGGAGUUUGAAAAGAGGUGGAGAAAACUAGUUGAUAAAUUUGAUCUCAGAGAAGUUGAAUUGGUUCAUUCACUGUAUGAAGAUCGGGUGAAAUGGGCCCCUACAUUUAUAAGGGAUGUGGUUUUAGCGGGAAUGUCAACGGUUCAACGAUCAGAGAGUGUAAACUCUUUCUUUGACAAAUAUGUACAUAAGAAAACUACUGUCCAGGAGUUCGUAAAGCAAUAUGAAUCAAUAUUACAAGAUAGGUACGAGGAGGAGGCAAAGGCAGAUUCUGAUACAUGGAACAAACAACCUGCUUUGAGAUCCCCAUCACCAUUUGAGAAGCACUUGGCGGGGCUUUAUACACAUGCUGUAUUUAAGAAAUUCCAGUCUGAGGUUGUGGGUGCAACUGCUUGUGGUCCUAAAAGAGAGAAGCAAGAUGAGAUAGUCUUAACAUAUAGAGUUCAAGAUUUUGAGAAGACUCAAGAGUUCAUUGUUACAUUAGAUGAAAUGAAGUCAGAAAUAUCUUGUAUUUGUCAUUUGUUUGAAUAUAAAGGCUACCUUUGUAGACAUGCAUUGAUAGUUCUCCAAAUAUGUGCUGUUUCCUCUAUCCCACCACAAUAUAUUUUGAAGCGAUGGACAAAAGAUGCGAAGAGCAAGUACUCUAUGACGGAUGGAUCUGAAGACGUGCAGUCAAGGUUCCAGAGAUAUAAUGAGCUAUGUCAUCGGGCUAUGAAAUUGAGUGAAGAAGGGUCGUUAUCUCAAGAGAGCUAUAGUUUUGCUCUUCGUGCACUUGAUGACGCGUUUGGGAGUUGUGUAACUUUUAAUAACUCAAACAAGAACAUGUUAGAAGCUGGCACAUCAUCAGCCUCUGGUCUUCUCUGUAUUGAAGAUGAUAACCAAAGUAGGAGUAUGAGCAAGACAAACAAGAAGAAAAAUAACUUCACUAAGAAACGGAAGGUGAACUCGGAGCCAGAUGUUAUGGCUGUUGGGGCAGCAGACAGCUUGC